rnacentral:tRNA from 1 species
GGGUGUAGAUCAGUGGUAGAGCACUUGUUUAGCAUGUGCAAGGCCCUGGGUUCAAUCCCAGCACUGCA